rnacentral:rRNA from 1 species
AUUGAACGCUGGCGGUAUGCUUAACACAUGCAAGUCGAACGAUGAGAAAGAGCUUGCUCUUUCGAUUAGUGGCGGACGGGUGCGUAACGCGUAGGAAUCUACCUAUUAGUGGGGGACAACUUAGGGAAACUUAAGCUAAUACCGCAUACGCCCUACGGGGGAAAGAAGGGGAUCGCAAGACCUUUUGCUAAUAGAUGAGCCUGCGUAGGAUUAGCUAGUUGGUGGGGUAAAAGCUCGCCAAGGCGACGAUCCUUAACUGGUUUGAGAGAAUGAUCAGUCACACUGGAACUGAGACACGGUCCAGACUCCUACGGGAGGCAGCAGUGGGGAAUAUUGGACCAUGGGCGAAAGCCUGAUCCAGCAAUACCGCGUGUGUGAAGAAGGCCUUAGGGUUGUAAAGCACUUUCAAUUGGAAGGAAAACCUCGAAGCUAAUACCUUCGAGUUUGACAUUACCUUUAGAAGAAGCACCGGCUAACUCCGUGCCAGCAGCCGCGGUAA